CUCAUUUUGAUCUCCCUACGCAUUGACAUAAGUGUACGGCGACGUGUUCGUUUUUACUUUUAUUUUUUAUUUAUUUAUUGAAAAAAACAAAAAAAACAAAUGUAAACAAUAGUGAUGGCGAGAUGUAAUCCUUAGGAAGUAUCGUAACACUUCAGCCAUUGGUUCGAAUAAUGGUUCAUUUCUUGAUGCUUCAUUGCACACGAAACCACCUGCUGGCCAUGUGCAUAAUCACAGGCAGCUGUUUCUUUACCACAUACAGAUGAGUUGGAUUCCACCAAGGAAGUGUGGAACAGCCAUCUUAUUCGUCCUUCCAAGAACGAGUGUGUGCCUCAUGGAUGGCCUCAUGCAAUGUUCAUGGUGCCUGAGCUGUAUGGCACCCAGGACGUUUUGUGCCAAGUGGGUGAGGAGGACUUGAUGAGAACUGGUGUGAUGUUUGACAAGUACUGGUAUCCAUUAUGGAUCAACAAGAGCUCAUAGAGCUUUACUUUCAUUUGGGACUUAACUACAAACACAUUCUGCACGUGCUGAGCUCCAAACACAGGAUUGAUCUUAGUUUGAGGACCCUCAAACGAAUUCUGAAGAAGCAUGGAUUGUUCCGCCGAAUCUAUUAUGACCACCCAGAGACAGUUGUGGACUUUAUCGGGGAGGAGCUACAAGGCUCAGGGGCUUUGCAUGGCUACAGGUGGAUGCACACAAAAUGCAAAGACAGGGGGCUGCACGUACGUAAGGAAGAUGUACGCCUGCUCCUUUCCACGAUUGACCCAGAGGGCACCGAAUUUAGAAGGACGACUCCACAGACAAGCAUACUUUGCCAAGGGUCCAAAUUUUGCCUGGCAUGUUGAUUCGUAUGACAAAUUAAAACCAUUUGGCAUUUGUAUCAGUGAACCCAUUGAUGGUUUUUCAAGGCGAAUUCUGUGGCUGAAUGCAUACUAUACAAGCAGUGAUCCAAAAGUCAUCAGUGGCUACUUUAUUGAAACCAUUAAGGAAUUAGGUGGAUGUGCGCGCAUCGUGAGAUCUGACAUGGGGACAGAAAACAGUUUCAUCCGAGAUAUGCAGCGUUUCCUUCGUGGGACCCACAAUGAUGUUCAUGCUUGUGACGAGCUUUGUUGUUGGGAGAAGCACAUCUAAUCAGAGAAUCGAGAGUUGGUGGGGCUUUCUCCGUCGAGAGUGUGUGGAAUUCUGGCUGGACCUCUUCCACAGACUGAAGGACAUUUUGAUGGGUACCUACUCGACAAGAACCUCAUGUUGUUUUGCUUCCUUGGUUUAAUACAGGCAAGUAGCAACAUUUCACAAGCAUUUUGCAUGUGUUUACUUCAUGUUGGCCAUCAUCUAUGCCAUAUCAUGGCAAAGUUACAAAUGUGCUCUGAUAUUUUUCUUCCCAGGAAUGGGACUUUGCAUUGAAAAUGUUCAAUGGCAUUGCCCAUUUGCAAACAUAUUAAACCUUUGCCCCUCAAAAUAACAUUCAACAUUGGUAAAGAGCAAUUUCUAGAAGUUUUCUGUGACAUUAGAAUCAAAUUCUAUUUACGAUGCAGUCUCACUGGAUUUUAUUCUUUUGGCAUAGUAGGCCUUGAC